rnacentral:rRNA from 1 species
AGCGAACGCUGGCGGCAGGCUUAACACAUGCAAGUCGAACGGGCAUCUUCGGAUGUCAGUGGCAGACGGGUGAGUAACACGUGGGAACGUACCCUUCGGUUCGGAAUAACUCAGGGAAACUUGAGCUAGUACCGGAUACGCCCUUUUGGGGAAAGGUUUACUGCCGAAGGAUCGGCCCGCGUCUGAUUAGCUUGUUGGUGGGGUAACGGCCUACCAAGGCGACGAUCAGUAGCUGGUCUGAGAGGAUGAUCAGCCACACUGGGACUGAGACACGGCCCAGACUCCUACGGGAGGCAGCAGUGGGGAAUAUUGGACAAUGGGCGCAAGCCUGAUCCAGCCAUGCCGCGUGAGUGAUGAAGGCCUUAGGGUUGUAAAGCUCUUUUGUCCGGGACGAUAAUGACGGUACCGGAAGAAUAAGCCCCGGCUAACUUCGUG